GCGCUCCGGGAGGGGCCUGCGGCCCAUCAGCUAGUUGGUAGGGUAAAGGCCUACCAAGGCGAAGACGGGUAGGGGGCCUGAGAGGGUGGUCCCCCACAUGGGAACUGAGACACGGUCCAG
rnacentral:rRNA from 1 species